rnacentral:misc_RNA from 1 species
UUAGGUGAAACUGCGGAAGGAUCAUUAAGGUGAUUAACUAUACACUGUGUGGACUGGAACCCUUUAAAGUGGAUAUUUACAAGAACCGAUAAGUUAAAACUUUCAACAACGGAUCUCUUGGCUCUCGCACCGAUGAAGAGCGCAGCGAAAUGCGAUAACUAAUGUGAAUUGCAGGCAUCGUGAAUCAUCGAGUUCUUGAACGCACAUUGCGCCCUGUGGUAUUCCGCAGGGCAUGCUUGUUUGAGCGUCAGUUCAAUCUUUGAGCUGGGGUUACUGUGGACGUGUCUGCGGUUUCCUUGAAAACGAGUGAGUUGUGUUAACUACGUUUCGCACGACCAUCAUUUUGACCUCAAAUCAAGUAGGAGUACCCGCUGAACUUAAGCAUAUCAAUAAGCG